AUGGUCCAGCGUUUGACAUACCAACGUAGGCUUUCCUACAAUACAGCCUCUAACAAAACUAGGCUGUCCCAAACCCUUGGUAAUAGAAUUGUUUACCUUUAUACCAAGAUGGAUGGGAAAGCACCAAAAUCUGCAUGUGGCAUGUGCCCAGGCAGACUUCAAGGGAUUCGUGCCGUAAAACCUGAAGUUCUUACGAGAUUGUCCAAAACAACAUGUCGGGUUCCAUGUGUGCUAAAUGUGUUCGUGACUGGAUCAAGUGUGCUCUCCUUAUCGAGGAGCAGAAAAUUGUUGUGAAAGUGUCGAAGGCACAAGCACAGUCAGCUAAAUAA
rnacentral:lncRNA from 1 species